CUGUUGUCGCGUACCAUGAUAAAGUAUCUAGUGUGUUGAAAAAUCAUUAUCGUCUAUUGGUGUAUUCAUACAAAUACCACUUCUGAUUUGUGGGCGUUAAAACGUGUUCAAAUGCUCCAAAGCGGUGAAAAUGAAAGUAGUACAAACUUUAGGAAGCAAUCUAUAUCAAAAACAUGAUAAAGUCUCUUGUGUGGUGAAGGAUGCUGUGUUGGUGUAUUAAUAUGAAAACCACUUCUAGGAAUCAACAAUGGCUAUGGAAUCCAUUGCUGAACACGAAGAAUCGAGUUUGGUAUUUAUUUAAUUGUAAUUAUAACAUAAAUAUGUAAUCGAAAUAAAAUAAAAUAAACAUUUUUUUCAAUGGUA